rfam:Methanoculleus sp. MAB1 isolate Methanoculleus sp MAB1 genome assembly, chromosome: chrI
GCUGCGGUGGCCUAGUUGGUUAGGGCGCCAGACUCAUAGGGUUUUGAGAAGAACGGAGCGUCCGAUACCUGGGACAUCUGGAAAUCGUGGGUUCGGAUCCCACCCGCAGCA